rfam:Danio rerio chromosome 15, GRCz11 reference primary assembly.
AAAAUGGAUUUUUUAAAAUCCAUUCAGCCAAUCUCUGGGACUAAAU